rnacentral:rRNA from 1 species
AACGAACGCUGGCGGCGUGCCUAACACAUGCAAGUCGAACGCGAACGGGUCUUCGGACCCUAGUAGAGUGGCGCACGGGUGAGUAACACGUGGGCAAUCUACCCAGGGAUUUGGGAUAACCAGGGGAAACCCUGGCUAAUACCGAAUACGUCCAUGAGGCCUUCGGUCCUCAUGGAGAAAGGUGGCCUCUUCUCGAAAGCUGCCGUUCCUGGAUGAGCCCGCGGACCAUUAGCUUGUUGGUGAGGUAACGGCUCACCAAGGCCAUGAUGGUUAGCUGGUCUGAGAGGAUGAUCAGCCACACUGGGACUGACACACGGCCCAGACUCCUACGGGAGGCAGCAGUGGGGAAUCUUGCGCAAUGGGCGAAAGCCUGACGCAGCCACGCCGCGUGAGCGAUGAAGGUCUUCGGAUCGUAAAGCUCUGUGGGGAGAGACGAAGAAAGCCGGUGAAGAGCCGGCCUUGACGGUAUCUCCUUAGCAAGCACCGGCUAA